UACGGAGGGUGCAAGCGUUAUCCGGAUUCACUGGGUUUAAAGGGUGCGUAGGUGGGCAGGUAAGUCAGUGGUGAAAUCUCCGGGCUUAACCCGGAAACUGCCGUUGAUACUAUUUGUCUUGAAUAUUGUGGAGGUAAGCGGAAUAUGUCACGUAGCGGUGAAAUGCUUAGAUAUGACAUAGAACACCAAUUGCGAAGGCAGCUUACUACACAAUCAUUGACACUGAGGCACGAAAGCGUGGGGAUCAAACAGG
rnacentral:rRNA from 1 species